UUAGCUUUCUCUGUCAGUUGCUUAGUCAGCCAGUCGCAGUUGUUGCAUUGUGGAGGCAGAAAUCUAGCUUGUAGUAGUAGUUGUUACACUACUGUGAACUCCCGCUCAUUUCAUGCUGUUGUGAAGGGCUGCCAAAAAUGUUCAGUUGCAGUUUUUGCAGCAAAACAUUACAGACCUUGAGGGGUUACGUGCUGCAUUGUAAAAUCCAUAGAAAUGAACCUCAUCCGUUUUUCAAAUGUGUCGGCACCGACUGCAAGCGGACAUUCUGUACGUAUGCCGCUUUUAAGGGUCAUUUCUAUCGAGUUCACAACACACCUGCACCCUCUGUUACUGCUGUGGCCGCUUUUACACAUUUUACGUGUGCUCUUCCGCUGUGUGACUGUGAAUUUCACACAGUCAAAGAGCUUAUUUCCCACUUAAAAAAGCAUAUAGAGGAGGGGCGACCUGUGGCAUGUCCAGUAAAAGGUUGUCAAAAUACAUUCACUGUUAAAUCGUCAUUUACUGCCCAUAUGUCCAGAAAACACAGAACAUGUGCUGUGGAUAGUGUAAGUGACAUGUACAUGCAAAAUGUGUCUCAGCCUUCUGCUGCCAGUGUACAUGAAGAUACUCCCCAGAGUUCAAAUGAUGCUAUAACAAAUGAAAGCAGUGAAUUGCCACAGGAUUUCAGUGAGACUUUUCUUAGAAAUGUCUGUUUAUUCUACCUAAAAUUGCAAGGGCAGCUCCUUCUUCCAGCUUCGACAAUACAGACAAUUGUUGAAGAGAUGCAAAAUGUGCAUGAUUUGGGACAGGAUUACACUUUAAGUAAACUACGUUCACUUUUGAAAAAUGACAUGUCUCUAAAUGAUGAUGCUAUUGCUAAAAUCUGUGACUGUGUGAAGGAUUCAGAUCUGUUCUCUGCCUGUCAUCACGGACCUCUGAGAACAACAUACUCAAGGGCUCAGACUUUCAAAAAAAUGUUCAAAUACAUAGAGCCUAAAACAGUAAAAUUAGGAAAUGAUGAAAAUAUGACAGAAAGGUUUGCUUACUAUGUACCUGUAACACAAACUUUAAAAAACUUACUAGAAUCAGAUAUAUGGAAGAACUCAGUGUCACAGCAGUCUUGUAAAACACACUCAGAUGUCUUUUGUGACAUAAGUGAUGGUCAAAACUUUAAGUCCAACCAGUUUUUCAUUGAAAAUCCAGGAUGCCUGAAGCUAAUUCUCUACCAGGAUGCCUUUGAAAUUGUGAAUCCCCUCGGCUCAGCUAAGAAAAGACACAAAGUUCUUGCAGUCUAUCUUUCUGUGGCAAAUAUGCCUGCACAUGUGCGGUCCAAUACAGAUCACAUGUCCCUUGUUUUAUUGUGUAGAGAGAGUGACUUAAAACAGUUUGGAAGUGCUAAAGUUUUCUCAGAAAUGCUAGUUGAUUUAAAAAAUCUGGAAGAACAUGGAAUAACUGUUGGUGGUGAAACAGUCAAAGGGGCUCUGUAUUGUAUUGCGGGUGAUAAUUUGGGGUCACAUAGCAUUGGUGGGUUCACUGAAAACUUUAGCCAUUCUCAGUACUUUUGCAGAUACUGUGAAAUUACAAGAAGUGAGUUUCAGAAUGAUGACCCAAAUGUUUGUGGUCCACAGCGCACCCCUGAAAGCUAUGAUUCUGCACUUCUACAAGCUGAAGACGGACAAGGCAGCAAAGGCAUAAAGAAAGGCCUGACAUGGAGCAAACAUUUCUACGCAGUGCCAUAACUGAGGUCCUUCCUGACCUUUCACAGAUGAGUAUAGAUAUUAUAGAAGAGCAUUUACAAUCCCUUGGGGUUGAGACAUCUGAUGACUUUCAGUUUAUUGAGGAAGCUGAUUUGGUGUCAGCAUUGAGGCCCAUUCAAGCCCGAAAACUACUUGCUGCUUGGAAGCUAAAAUGCCUGACUCCUGAAACAAGCAGUUCAUCUGCUGUUGCUUCACCUGGACCUCCCGUAUCCUUGGAGUCGAUUUCACCCAGAAGUUCAUCCUCAACCUCUUCGAACAACUGCCAAAGCCCUGACUGGGUCGAUACAUUUAUCAUACCAUGGGAAAAGUUCCCAGAGGAACUGAUUCAGUCAUUAGAGAGAGGGAAACGACCAAAUCCAAGAAUGAGAAGGGAGAUGGUCCGAAUCAUGGUCUCUGAGAUGAUGCAAAAAACUGCUUGCAUAAAUAAAAGGAGCUGUAUGGAAGUUGCCAAAAAAAUGGUGGCAAAAUAUCCUAAGUCUUUGCAAGACAUAAUAGAGGGAGAUGUGAUUGGGCCAGGGUACCAUUCUCUAGUCAAGCAGCUGCAAAAUAGGAUAGAGAAUAUGAAGCGAUGUACAACCCAAAAAAUAAGAAAAAGGAAGCAUCGCAGUGAAGAUUAUGACACAGACGAAGUCCCUCCAGAGCAGAGAGCAACAGUCCAGGACACCUAUGGGUGCAUUAACUGGG